rnacentral:rRNA from 1 species
ACGGGUAGCCGGCCUGAGAGGGCGACCGGCCACACUGGGACUGAGACACGGCCCAGACUCCUACGGGAGGCAGCAGUGGGGAAUAUUGCACAAUGGGCGAAAGCCUGAUGCAGCGACGCCGCGUGAGGGAUGACGGCCUUCGGGUUGUAAACCUCUUUCAGUAGGGAAGAAGCGAGAGUGACGGUACCUGCAGAAGAAGCGCCGGCUAACUACGUGCCAGCAGCCGCGGUAAUACGUAGGGCGCAAGCGUUGUCCGGAAUUAUUGGGCGUAAAGAGCUUGUAGGCGGUUUGUCACGUCUGGUGUGAAAUCCCAUCGCUCAACGGUGGGCUUGCAUCGGGUACGGGCAGGCUAGAGUGUGGUAGGGGAAACUGGAAUUCCUGGUGUAGCGGUGAAAUGCGCAGAUAUCAGGAGGAACACCGAUGGCGAAGGCAGGUUUCUGGGCCAUUACUGACGCUGAGAAGCGAAAGCAUGGGGAGCGA